GACAAUACGCCCCACUUUAAUUCAAUAUCAAAUAUGUCAAAAGUCUUUUUACAAUUGAAUGAAAACUCCUAUUUAUACUAUACCUAAAAACUAGGUAAAAAUCGUGCAAAAGUCGAGCAUAAUCCCCAAAAUAUGGAAAAAAAAUCAAAAACUAACAAAAUAUGGAAAAAUACCAAAAUUAGAAAAUUUGUCAAAAAUUUGGCCUAUGCAACCGCAACGUUCAUUUCUAUGCGGUCGCAUAGUUCAAGCAAGUUUCCUCAUUUGAGUUUCGGUAAGUCUCCAUGCGACCACGAGCCACUUUGGUCUAUGCGAUCGCAUAGGCUUGGAACUUCCCUUUGAUUUCGGCCUUCGUUAUUAAAUUGAUCCAAGUUGAUUCGACCUUCGACCGAACAUAAAAGUUGCUCCAUUUUGAAUCCCGAACAUGGUUCCAUCAAUGGUUUCUUGAACGAGUAAUCCCAUCGCUUAUUUCACUUGCUUUGCCCUUGAUCGCGUCAUCGGUCCGCCAUCAACUAUCAUCGGGUCUCAUCUCACACUUACCUUCGUCGGGUUCGACUCCUGGGUCAUAUCAUAAAGCCA
rnacentral:lncRNA from 1 species